rnacentral:rRNA from 1 species
UGGGGAAUAUUGGACAAUGAGCGAAAGCUUGAUCCAGCCAUGCCGCGUGAGUGAUGACGGCCUUAGGGUUGUAAAGCUCUUUCAACGGUGAAGAUAAUGACGGUAACCGUAGAAGAAGCCCCGGCUAACUUCGUGCCAGCAGCCGCGGUAAUACGAAGGGGGCUAGCGUUGUUCGGAAUAACUGGGCGUAAAGCGCACGUAGGCGGAUUGUUAAGUGAGGGGUGAAAUCCCAGGGCUCAACCCUGGAACUGCCUUUCAUACUGGCAAUCUUGAGUUCGAGAGAGGUGAGUGGAAUUCCGAGUGUAGAGGUGAAAUUCGUAGAUAUUCGGAGGAACACCAGUGGCGAAAGCGGCUUUCUGGCUCGAACCUGACGCUGAGGCGCGAAAGCGUGGGGAGCAAACAGGAUUAGAUACCCCCGUAGUCC